rnacentral:misc_RNA from 1 species
GCUUUUCAACAUCAAGAAAUUGUUGAUGCAAACCCAAGUGGGUCAUCUUUGUCUGACACUAAUGAUUCUUUGAUGCAUGUAUAAUUUCGGUAAGAUAAUGGGUUUAGACCUAUUUUAAGUCGACAAUUGUUGAACUUUGAUUGACUGUAUCUCCCAGAAAGUCAAAUUCUACUUGAUCUUUUGGAUCACUUCUUGUGGAUUCUUGCAAAGGCAUAUGGAAAACUAU